GCAUCGAUAGCACAGUGGCAGAGCGGUGGGGCGUUUACCCAUGCGGCCCGGGUUCGAUUCCCGGUCGAAGUA